rnacentral:rRNA from 1 species
AUUGAACGCUGGCGGCAUGCCUUACACAUGCAAGUCGAACGGCAGCACGGGAGCUUGCUCCUGGUGGCGAGUGGCGAACGGGUGAGUAAUGCAUCGGAACGUGCCCUGAAGUGGGGGAUAACGUAGCGAAAGUUACGCUAAUACCGCAUAUUCUGUGAGCAGGAAAGCAGGGGAUCUUCGGACCUUGCGCUUUUUGGAGCGGCCGAUGUCGGAUUAGCUAGUUGGUGGGUAAAGGGCCCACCAAGGCGACGAUCCGUAGCGGGUCUGAGAGGAUGAUCCGCCACACUGGAACUGAGACACGGUCCAGACUCCUACGGGAGGCAGCAGUGGGGAAUUUUGGACAAUGGGCGCAAGCCUGAUCCAGCCAUGCCGCGUGAGUGAAGAAGGCCU